rnacentral:rRNA from 1 species
CCCUUAGAUGUUCUGGGCCGCACGCGCGCUACACUGUUCGACGCAGCGAGUCUUAACCUUGACCGAAAGGUUUGGGUAAUCUUCAGCAAAGUCGAACGUGAUGGGGAUCGAUCAUUGCAAUUAUUGAUCGUGAACGAGGAAUUCCUAGUAAGUGCAAGUCAUCAGCUUGCAUUGAUUACGUCCCUGCCCUUUGUACACACCGCCCGUCGCUCCUACCGAUUGAAUGAUCCGAUGAAUAUCAUGGAUUGAGGAUGCAAGUAGGUUCGCCUAUCUUCAUCUUCGAGAAGUGAAGUAAAUCUUAUCAUUUAGAGGAAGGAGAAGUCGUAACA